AAAUUUCAAGUAUUUAUAAAAAAUGUGGAAAGAUGUAUAUAAUUCAGAUGAGAAAUACUAUUCCAUGUAAGCCUACCAAUAUGUAAAAUGUCAAGUCCAGUUUCUCUCAGAUAUACAAAACAACAUUAAAUAUGUUGCCCUGAUUUUGAUAGUGACACACUCAUUAGAAAUGUAUACAUCUGCCCUGCGUCAAAUAUGCUGAGACAGAAUGAAAGUGUAACAAGACAGAAAUGAAAGUGUAAUGAUAUGCUGAAUGUGACCUUAUGCUGAACUA